rnacentral:rRNA from 1 species
UACGUAGGGUGCAAGCGUUGUCCGGAAUUAUUGGGCGUAAAGAGCUCGUAGGCGGUCUGUCACGUCGGCUGUGAAAACCCGAGGCUCAACCUCGGGCCUGCAGUCGAUACGGGCAAACUAGAGUACUGAAGGGGAGACUGGAAUUCCUGGUGUAGCGGUGAAAUGCGCAGAUAUCAGGAGGAACACCGGUGGCGAAGGCGGGUCUCUGGGCAGUAACUGACGCUGAGGAGCGAAAGCGUGGGGAGCGAACAGG